CAAGGUACUGUUUCUUUCAGUGGUCAGUUCUUCCAGUUGUUUUGACUCUCAUCGCCACACAGCCAAAAGAUAGUGAAUUUAUGAAGAUUUUAACUGAUCUAUGCUACUCUAAGUGGGCUUUGGAAGGAUUCAUCAUUGCAAAUGCUGAAAGGUAUUAUGGAGUGUGGCUGAUAACUAGGUGUGGUUCGAUCACUUCUAAAAAGUGGUUAUAACCUUCAUCAUUGGAGUCUAUGUUUAGCCAUCCUUAUCCUAACUGGAAUUUUUAGUCGUGUGAUAGCAUUUUUUUGUAUGCGGAUCUUCCAAAAGAAGUGAGAUCAGACUAAUUGACAUUCUUUUUCCAUACUACACAUACACAAACCACAAUUUAUGCUA